AGGUUCUCCACCUUGGCACAAUAGCAAGGUUGCUUUUUUGUGACCAAUAAGGUCAUGGGCUCCAAAUCCUGGAAACAGCCUCUUCCAAUGCAAGGAGUCUUUUGCAUUAAGGAUAAGCUUUUAGAAAAAAGAAGAAACCACAUGAACUCUCCUUUUUGAACAGAUUUCCAAUUGAUAAAAAUACAGAUCUUGCAGGAAGAAUAUGUCAGUGUAUCAAACAAAAGUUAUCCCAGCUAGUGCAAGCAAUUAAGCACAUUGACUCAUUGUUCA
rnacentral:misc_RNA from 1 species